UAUACUUCUGGUAAGUUCUUUGCUCUUUUCUCGCCAAAUCUCAAAUGUUUAUCUAUUUGAAAUUAAGUACGGAAAAUACCGCAUAAGUACUGAUAAAAGGAACAGACUCAAGAUCAGUUCAUUGCGCUCACUUCAAUGUAUGAGCGAAAGUCCCAAUGACAACGAUGUUAACUUCAUACAUUAGCUUAGUGGCAUCCACGAUACGAAACACUGGCCGCGAUUUUGAGUCAAAGAGUGAGUAUUAAUUAUCGCCACGUAUCUCAAGCAAUUCAAGAGUACAGCUGUUCUUCCCGAUACUGAGUCACGAAACGUGUGAUCGUAAGACGUACAUACAAAUAACAGGUCCAUGGAUAGUUUUUAGUCUGAGGUUAUGAACGUUAACCGAAUGAGGUUAUGAAUAUCGACUGCGCGAUUAAUCGCAAUCCCAGGUUAACGCGACAGAAGUUCAUCUGCAAAAUUUUAUAUUUUUGGUGAUCACACACAGGAAAAUGUAUGCUGCAUUUAAUGUGCAUUUACGCGCAAAAUUUGACGAGGAAAACGCACAAAAAAUGUCUGUUAAUAUCAUCAAAGAUCCAAAUUGGAGCAAGAAGAGCAGAACAAUAAACAUCAGACGUAAAUUCACAUCAUUUCGAUUGACUCCUGCUCGGAAAUCUGCUUCGACAAUCUGCUCGGAACAAGCGUGACGGAGAAACGGCACUGACGAAUAAAUCAGU